GGACUGUGGCUCAGUGGUAGAGCACUUGCCUAGCAUGCAUGAGACACUGAGUUCGAUCCCCAGCACUA
rnacentral:tRNA from 1 species